GAUAAAUUGUAACAUACGUGUUAGUUGAUAUUAAGUUAACUGUCUGUGUUUUUACCUCAGGUAAACUCCGCAAGCUUUCUAAGUUACUUCAGAUGCUGGCGAUAAGUCCUGAGGUCUGAACAAUUUUACAGGACACCACCAUGGCUGAAAGCAAAGUGGCUCAAUUCUUUAAUGGAGGACAGCAGAGAUGUUGCACAGUAAGGGCAAGAACGCAGUACAAAGACACAAGAAAGUAUGUAAAACUAAAAAACAUUUGUUUUUAAAACCGAGCUGACUUAAACCACUAUAAUUUAUGACACUUGCAUACAUGUGAACAGCCCCUACGCUAAUAGGAUUCUGUUUCUCUCUCCCUGUCUCGUCCUCGACCCUGAGGACAAUGAGACAAACAGACCCAGUUCCUGCUGCUGUGAAGGUCAUCACACCACUGAUCUACUGACUGUCCUUCUACGAGAUGCCCAGCCGAUGUCUGACCAGCAACCACCGGCAGAACCAGUUUAAUUUGCUUACCCGUUCACAUACCCCAAUAGUAUUUAUAUAUAUAAAUAUAUAUGCAUCUCUCUCAAGGGUUUUUUCCCUUCUAGGAGUUUUCCCCCUGGACAAGCCAGGAGGGUUUUUCUCCUAGGGUUUUUUUUUCAUCCCCUGGAGAGUCCACCACCUUUGGCUUAACCUACUACUUUACUGUAUACGUUACAUUAUUACUAUGCUCGCUUUUCUAUGCUUUUUCUACAUGUAUCAAUGUAAAGCUGCUUUGAAACAAUUAGCAAUUGUGAAAAGCGCUAUAUAAAUAAAAUU